rnacentral:rRNA from 1 species
CUACGGGGGGCAGCAGUGGGGAAUAUUGGACAAUGGGCGAAAGCCUGAUCCAGCCAUGCCGCGUGAGUGAUGAAGGCCCUAGGGUUGUAAAGCUCUUUCGCCAGGGACGAUAAUGACGGUACCUGGAUAAGAAGCCCCGGCUAACUUCGUGCCAGCAGCCGCGGUAAUACGAAGGGGGCUAGCGUUGUUCGGAAUCACUGGGCGUAAAGCGCACGUAGGCGGAUCUUUAAGGCAGGGGUGAAAUCCCGAGGCUCAACCUCGGAGCUGCCUUUGAUACUGGAGGUCUCGAGUCCGGGAGAGGUGAGUGGAACUGCGAGUGUAGAGGUGAAAUUCGUAGAUAUUCGCAAGAACACCAGUGGCGAAGGCGGCUCACUGGCCCGGUACUGACGCUGAGGUGCGAAAGCGUGGGGAGCAAACAGGAUUAGAUACCCCCGUAGUC